rnacentral:rRNA from 1 species
UACGGGGGGGGCAAGCGUUGUUCGGAAUUACUGGGCGUAAAGGGCUCGUAGGCGGCCAACUAAGUCGGAUGUGAAAUCCCCAGGCUCAACCUGGGAACUGCAUCCGAUACUGGAUGGCUUGAAUCCGGGAGAGGGAUGCGGAAUUCCAGGUGUAGCGGUGAAAUGCGUAGAUAUCUGGAGGAACACCGGUGGCGAAGGCGGCAUCCUGGACCGGCAUUGACGCUGAGGCGCGAAAGCCAGGGGAGCAAACGGG